GUUUUACAAAGGAAAAGUAUUUGAUGGUGUCUGAGGAAUACAGAGCACUGGGAUGAAAAUGAGGCUGCAAAGGAAAUGGAAUGAAAAACAGGCUUGUUUGGGUCACCCAGAAGCAAAAACCUAUCACACGCAGUCAUACAAAUAUACCCAAAACCCAGCAGCCACAUCAUACUGAUUCCCGACAACAAAACAAAAUGAAGAUGGAACUUCAGGGGAAUAAGACAAAGGGAAGGAGUGGAAAUGAAGCUGCCAAGGAAAACAGAACUGAUUUUGCAAAGGAAAAGUUGAAUAUCUUCCCAACUUUAACCCCUCUGCUUUCAUCAAUUUGAAUGGACUUCAGCUGGGAUUCCAUUUGUCAGCAAUAUGAUAAUCUAUGAGAUGGACCUCUAAGAAGCUGAAGCAACUCUAUCUCUCAAUUUGGAAAAAUGCCCACUUCCAAGUUCUGGAGCAGAGUCAAGGAGCUAACACCUGGAAAGUGAUUAAAAUUGUGCCUUAUUAUGUUUUUGAAGAAUCUUGCUGACAUUUUUUCUUCAUUCAUUCUCUCUCUCAAAUACAUAUACACACAUACAUAUCUACACAUAUAUGAUAUGUAUAUAUGUAUAAUAUACCUACAUACCUAAAGAAUAUGUAUAGAUAUAUAUGUGCAUAUACAAACAUAUACAAGCAUACCUCAUUUAAUUGCACUUUGCUUUGGUGAGCUUUCCAGAUAUUGCAUAGCUUUACAAAUUGAAAAUCUGUGGCAACUCUGCACUGAGAAAGUCUAUUAGUGCCAUUAUUCUAAGAGUAUUAGCUCAAUUCAUAUCUCUGUGUCACAUGUUUGGCAAUUCUCACAAUAUUUCACACUUAUUACUAUACUUGGUAUGGUGAUGUGUGAUCACCAUAAGGUCAGAUAACAGCAUUUUUUAGUAAUAAAGUAUUUUUUGAUUAAGUACAUAUUUCUUUUAGACAUAAUGUUACUGCACCCUUAAGAGACCACAGUAUAAACAUGACUUUUACCUGCAUGGGAGAAUGAAAAAAUUGGUGUUAUUUGCUUUGUCACAAUAUUUAUUUACUGGAAAUGAACCCAUAACACCUCUAAGGUCUGCCUAUACAUGCUUUUAUAACAUAUGUGUGUAUACCUGUAUACAUAUACAUAUAUGUAUGUAUAUACAGAGAUACUGUUUGCUUUAUAUGGUAUAACAAAAUUUAUACUUUUUUUUAAUAAAAAUUUCUAUUUUUUCCAUUAUAACUGAUUUACAGUGUUCUGUUUACUUCUGUUCUUUUAGUAAGAGUAAUUCAGUAUUGAGGCUGGUGAUUUAAAAAUUCUAAAUUAUAACUUUAUAAAGAUAUUUCUGAAAUGAUUCAAGUAUACACUUAUGCCCUCCUUACAUAUAAUAUUGCAUUUAUAUUCAGUAAUGAUCCUUUGUCCAUAUCUAAAAUGUUUUUAAAUGAUACUUUCCCUGUCACGGGAGAUGUAAAUUUAUACUUACAAGAUAAUGAGAUAGGUUUAAAAAUCUGCUUCUCAAACAUAAUGGUGUGCUGGCAAAUUUACCUACAG
rnacentral:lncRNA from 9 species